rnacentral:rRNA from 1 species
AAAACUUUCAACAACGGAUCUCUUGGUUCUGGCAUCGAUGAAGAACGCAGCGAAAUGCGAUAAGUAAUGUGAAUUGCAGAAUUCAGUGAAUCAUCGAAUCUUUGAACGCACAUUGCGCCCCUUGGUAUUCCGAGGGGCAUGCCUGUUCGAGCGUCAUGAC